AUGUACAGGAUAGCUACCCCUAGUCGAUCAGUCAUAGUGACUCCCCAACUAGUAGUUCCAUCUAUGGCCACCAUCCGUUCUGUCCGCAAAAGAUGGAGAGCCAAGCAGUACAUCUCCGCAGCUAUGCUGGGAACGCUGUUCGUUGUCGCCCUGGUGGCCGCUACCUCCAUCAGCCUCGCCCCAGCACGGAUGAGGUUUUCCCUCAUAACUGCGCAAAUCAUCACCUACAGAGAUCCACCCACCGGUCCGGACACCAACACACACUUGAACUUCACCCUCCAGGCCGAGAACACCAGCCAACGAACGGCUGUGUCGUAUGAGUCCAUGAGCGCCGAGGUAUGGUACGGUCCCGCAGCCACGGCGUGGGUCCGGACAAAGAAUGCUGCGCUACCGGCCGGGUGGCAACCGCCGAGCAGCGUGGUCAACAUCAGCGUCUCGGCUGACUACGGAUAUCACCCGACUAGUAAGGUUACCGACUACUGCCGGGUGGUAGUGAAGUCGAAGGUGUUUUUCAGGUUCGGAAGCUACCAAAUGUUGUUGGGCCUCCGCUGA
rnacentral:rRNA from 1 species